UUAACGGUAAGUUUACUUACCGCUUAACAUCGAGUGUUAAAUAUGCUAGUCCUUUCAUGAUUAUGUGAUAGGUGGUGCAUGGCCGUUCUUAGUUCGUGGAGUGAUCUGUCUGCUUAAUUGCGUUUCACUAAGGGCCCAUAAAUUCAAGGUAUGUUAGCUCUCGUCGCUCUAUGGACCCCUUAACUCCAAUAUUCUUAUUGUGUUAAGCGCGUGUCUUUAUUUUAAGAGUUUUAAGACACUGCGCAUG
rnacentral:rRNA from 1 species